UACGGAGGGUGCGAGCGUUGUCCGGAAUCAUUGGGCGUAAAGCGCGCGUAGGCGGCCCGGUAAGUCCGUUGUGAAAGUCAAAGGCUCAACCUUUGAACGCCGAUGGAUACUGCCGGGCUAGAGUCCGGAAGAGGCGAGUGGAAUUCCUGGUGUAGCGGUGGAAUGCGCAGAUAUCAGGAGGAACACCAAUAGCGAAGGCAGCUCGCUGGGACGGUACUGACGCUGAGGCGCGAAAGCGUGGGGAGCGAACAGG
rnacentral:rRNA from 1 species